rnacentral:rRNA from 1 species
AAAUUGAAGAGUUUGAUCAUGGCUCAGAUUGAACGCUGGCGGCAGGCCUAACACAUGCAAGUCGAGCGGUAGCACAGAGAGCUUGCUCUCGGGUGACGAGCGGCGGACGGGUGAGUAAUGUCUGGGAAACUGCCUGAUGGAGGGGGAUAACUACUGGAAACGGUAGCUAAUACCGCAUAAUGUCGCAAGACCAAAGUGGGGGACCUUCGGGCCUCAUGCCAUCAGAUGUGCCCAGAUGGGAUUAGCUAGUAGGUGGGGUAACGGCUCACCUAGGCGACGAUCCCUAGCUGGUCUGAGAGGAUGACCAGCCACACUGGAACUGAGACACGGUCCAGACUCUUACGGGAGGCAGCAGUGGGGAAUAUUGCACAAUGGGCGCAAGCCUGAUGCAGCCAUGCCGCGUGUGUGAAGAAGGCCUUCGGGUUGUAAAGCACUUUCAGCGGGGAGGAAGGCGGUGAGGUUAAUAACCUCAUCGAUUGACGUUACCCGCAGAAGAAGCACCGGCUAACUCCGUGCCAGCAGCCGCGGUAAUACGGAGGGUGCAAGCGUUAAUCGGAAUUACUGGGCGUAAAGCGCACGCAGGCGGUCUGUCAAGUCGGAUGUGAAAUCCCCGGGCUCAACCUGGGAACUGCAUUCGAAACUGGCAGGCUAGAGUCUUGUAGAGGGGGGUAGAAUUCCAGGUGUAGCGGUGAAAUGCGUAGAGAUCUGGAGGAAUACCGGUGGCGAAGGCGGCCCCCUGGACAAAGACUGACGCUCAGGUGCGAAAGCGUGGGGAGCAAACAGGAUUAGAUACCCUGGUAGUCCACGCCGUAAACGAUGUCGAUUUGGAGGUUGUGCCCUUGAGGCGUGGCUUCCGGAGCUAACGCGUUAAAUCGACCGCCUGGGGAGUACGGCCGCAAGGUUAAAACUCAAAUGAAUUGACGGGGGCCCGCACAAGCGGUGGAGCAUGUGGUUUAAUUCGAUGCAACGCGAAGAACCUUACCUGGUCUUGACAUCCACAGAACUUUCCAGAGAUGGAUUGGUGCCUUCGGGAACUGUGAGACAGGUGCUGCAUGGCUGUCGUCAGCUCGUGUUGUGAAAUGUUGGGUUAAGUCCCGCAACGAGCGCAACCCUUAUCCUUUGUUGCCAGCGGUUCGGCCGGGAACUCAAAGGAGACUGCCAGUGAUAAACUGGAGGAAGGUGGGGAUGACGUCAAGUCAUCAUGGCCCUUACGACCAGGGCUACACACGUGCUACAAUGGCAUAUACAAAGAGAAGCGACCUCGCGAGAGCAAGCGGACCUCAUAAAGUAUGUCGUAGUCCGGAUUGGAGUCUGCAACUCGACUCCAUGAAGUCGGAAUCGCUAGUAAUCGUAGAUCAGAAUGCUACGGUGAAUACGUUCCCGGGCCUUGUACACACCGCCCGUCACACCAUGGGAGUGGGUUGCAAAAGAAGUAGGUAGCUUAACCUUCGGGAGGGCGCUUACCACUUUGUGAUUCAUGACUGGGGUGAAGUCGUAACAAGGUAACCGUAGGGGAACCUGCGGUUGGAUCACCUCCUUA